UACGUAGGGUGCGAGCGUUGUCCGGAAUUACUGGGCGUAAAGGGCGCGUAGGCGGACAGUUUAGUCAGAGGUGAAAGCCCAGGGCUCAACCUUGGAAUUGCCUUUGAUACUGGCUGUCUUGAGUUCGGGAGAGGUGAGUGGAAUGCCGAGUGUAGAGGUGAAAUUCGUAGAUAUUCGGCGGAACACCAGUGGCGAAGGCGACUCACUGGCCCGAUACUGACGCUGAGGCGCGAAAGCGUGGGGAGCAAACAGG
rnacentral:rRNA from 1 species